ensembl:lncRNA
UUCAAGGCACAGGGGAGGGAGAGGAGGAGGGCACUGCACUGGGGGUCUCUUAGGGCCUUCGGGGCCUUGGGUGUGGGCCUCGAGUAAUUCCUAUUCCUGUGCAGAAUUUCCUCCUGGUCCUCUGUGGUUCCGACUUCACUAUUGCUUGUCCAGGCCCCUGGGAAGAGCCACGGCAGCUGUGACUACUGCUAGGCCUUCAGGGACACCUUCCUGGGGGAUUGGGAGGUCCUCUUUCCUUGAGGAGCUUGGCCUAGAGAAGCUCUCCUCCUGCCUUGUUUGUUCCUCUCUGUUUGAUGAGUCUUUUCCCUGGUGGCUCAGCGGGUAUAAGAAUCUGCCUGCAAUGCAGGAGACACGGGUUCAAUCCCUGAGUAGGGAAGAUUCCCUGGAGGAGGAAAUGGCUACCCACUCCAGUAUUCUUACCUGAAAAAUCCCACGGACAGAGGAGCCUGGUGGGCUCCAGUCCACGGGCGUCACAGAGUCGGACACAAGGGAGCACACACAACAAGCGGUGCCUGCUCUCCCAGGAGAAUAUUCAUUCGUUCAAUCUUCACAGUAAUCUGAGAGGGAAGCUGAGGCACAGAGAGGUCAAACAACUUGCCUGAGGCCACACAGCUGGAAAGUGGGGGCGCCCAGAUUUGAACUCAGGUGGUGGGUCAGGCUGGAGCUGGGGUGGCUUCCAGAGGCCAGUGUCUGGGAGGCUUUCCCUCUGAGACCUUCUGUGGACUGUGUAGUAGAGGGUCUCUGCUGCUUCUGGGCCCUUCCUCAGCUCCCGGGGCUCAGUCUGUCCUGAGCUGGUUCCUUGGGGCCUGGAGCCCACGUGGUGGGGAGGGUGCCCUGCUGGCCUUACGGAUACCAGCAGUGCCUCCCCUCCUCUGGCCCCCUUUGAGGAGGCCGCUCAUCCUCAUCUUCCGGACAGGGUGAUACAAGUUUUCCCGGGUUUUGUGACCAGUGAGGAGAGUGAUCCUAGAGAGAGUUCAGUACGAGAGCCACUUCCCUAGUCCCGAUGGGAACAGCAGGAGACUCUCCAGGGUAGGUUCCUGUGCCCACCCACCCUCUCCCACCCUGGACACUUUUUGGACCUGCUCUGGACCUGGUAGCCCUGUGGUCUCAGCCUUUCUGCUUUCAGUGUCCUUGGAGCCAUCAGCAGCUGUGUCCCCCACAAAGCCCUGACACUACUCUGUGUGGUACUACUGAGCCUCCUUAAUGUCCCUCCUGGCUGUGAAAUCUUAGUGCUUCAGCCUCUUCUUGAUGGGUAUCUCAUCUUGCCCUUGAAGGAGAGCUUUGCUCAGAAAAUAGAGUCCUGGGAGGUAAGGUGUUGUCUUCGCCCUCCAAUAGAACCCACCUAUACUUAAGGGUCUCCAUGUUGCAGGGUCUGCAGAUAUCAGUUAGACUGGGGUCCUGUCUGGGCCAGCAACAGGCCUCUUAGAAAUACCUCAUCACAACUGACCUUAGGUUCAUCACUGGGCUUCUCUAAGAGGCCUGAUUAAUUCAUGGUGCCCCCCUCCCCCCAACCCAUAGCCACCCGAGACACGAGGAUUUACUGUACCAGUUUAUUGCCAAGCUGUAUUGGUUGAUAAGCAGGAAACUCCAGACCAUCUGUUUAAAAAUAAAAAGUUAACAGCAGCACAGCCCUAGAGCUAACACUUUGUACUGCUGCAUAGUAAAUGAGCCCACUGGAUGCAGUGACCUCAGCUGAGGGCCACAGGCUUGUCCUCCAUCCCUCUCACCCGGGGCACCAGGUUUGUGGAAGGCAGAGCACCACCACACCACCCCCCUCCCCCAACAGCCAGCAUCACUCGUCCUAGCUGCUCCCAGGCCCCUCGUCCAGGUCUGGCUGCAUUUGAGGGUUUCUAACUCUUCUUUAGACCUCAGAGACUGUUCCCAGCAGGAUGUCCAUCCCAUCAGCUGAGAGUCCUUGUGGUCAGUCUCAUGGACCUGUCGUGGAGGCCAGCCUACAGGGCAGGACACAGGAGCACAGGCCGAAGAGGGCUUCUUGUGACCGCUAAGGACAAGCCUUUUGCUUGGCACCUCGGUGAGCUGCCAGCCCCGUUUUGAUUUGCAGCUUUUGUUGGAUUUGGG